GGGGAAUAUUGCGCAAUGGGGGAAACCCUGACGCAGCGACGCCGCGUGAAGGAAGAAGGUCUUCGGAUUGUAAACUUCUUUGGUCGGGGACGAAAAAAAUGACGGUACCCGAUAAAAAAGCCACGGCUAACUACGUGCCAGCAGCCGCGGUAAUACGUAGGUGGCAAGCGUUGUCCGGAAUUACUGGGUGUAAAGGGCGUGUAGGCGGGGAUGCAAGUCAGAUGUGAAACCCCACAGCUUAACUGUGGGCUUGCAUCUGAAACUGUAUUUCUUGAGUGUUGGAGAGGGAAGUGGAAUUCCUAGUGUAGCGGUGAAAUGCGUAGAGAUUAGGAGGAACACCAGUGGCGAAGGCGACUUCCUGGCCAACAACUGACGCUGAGGCGCGAAAGCGUGGGGAGCAAAC
rnacentral:rRNA from 1 species